ACAGUACAGAAGGCCAAGCUGAUCAAGACGAAGCGAGAGACCGGCAGUCAUUAAGAGGGAGAACGAAGUGUAGUGGUAGGAGAGGAGAAAGUGCGCGGAAAACGAGGCGCAGGGGCGGCAAUGAAUUGGGGAGGCAGCAAGGCAAACCUGGGCUCUGGCUUCAAGAAAGGUGAACGGGGGGAG